AGCAGCCGCGGUAAUUCCAGCUCCAAUAGCGUAUAUUAAAGUUGUUGCAGUUAAAAGCUCGUAGUUGAAUUUCGGGGUUAGUAGGUUGGUCAUGCCUCUGGUAUGUACUGGUCUCACUGAUUCCUCCUUCCUGAUGAGCCGUAAUGCCAUUAAUUUGGUGUUGCGGGGAAUUUGGACUGUUACUUUGAAAAAUUAGAGUGUUUAAAGCAAGCUAACGCUUGAAUACAUUAGCAUGGAAUAAUGAAAUAGGACGUUCGAUCCUAUUUUGUUGGUUUCUAGGAUUGACGUAAUGAUUAAUAGGGAUAGUUGGGGGCAUUAGUAUUCAAUUGUCAGAGGUGAAAUUCUUGGAUUUAUUGAAGACUAACUACUGCGGAAGCAUUUGCCAAGGAUGUUUUCAUUAAUCAAGAACGAAAGUUAGGGAUCGAAGACGAUCAGAUACCGUCGUAGUCUUAACCAUAAACUAUGCCGACUAGGGAUCGGAUGAUGUUAAUUUUUAAUGACUCAUUCGGCUACCG
rnacentral:misc_RNA from 1 species